CCCUUAGAUGUUCUGGGCCGCACGCGCGCUACACUGACGAAUGCAACGAGCUUAUAACCUUGGCCGAAAGGUCUGGGUAAUCUCCAAAUUUCGUCGUGAUGGGGAUAGAUUAUUGCAAUUAUUAAUCUUCAACGAGGAAUGCCUAGUAAGCGCAAGUCAUCAGCUUGCGUUGAUUACGUCCCUGCCCUUUGUACACACCGCCCGUCGCUCCUACCGAUUGAAUGGUCCGGUGAAGCGUUCGGACCGAGGCCUUUGGACGGUUCGCCGUCUGUUGGCUGCGGGAAGUUCGUUAAACCUUAUCAUUUAGAGGAAGGAGAAGUCGUAACA
rnacentral:rRNA from 1 species